AUAUCUACAGGGUGAGAUGAAAAAACUGCAACCAACUUCAGACUGCUGUCAUUUCUAAAAGCCACUCGUCCGACAGCUGUUAAAAUUUUUCCAGUGACAGCUCAUUAUAUUGUUUACAAGCGUACAAAAUCAUUUUGGUGAUAAUUUUACAGAGAAAAAAGUUAUUCAUUAUGGAAUUCAAGCGGGAUAGUGUGAUUUCUUUAUAUUUGUCUGGAAAACCACAAGUGGCUAUCGUUAGAGCACUCCAGCAUUUAAAAGUGAAUAAAUCUUUUGUGUCUUGUACUAUCGCUCGUUACCGUGAUACACUGGUAGCGUAGCCCGACAUCAAGGGAAUGGACGGAAGUAAACAGCUACAUCAGCAGAAAUGGUUCGAAAAAUAAAGAAGUGACUUGAUCGAAAUCUGCGUCGCAGUGGCCGAAAAAUGACUCGUGAGCUAAACAUAUCGCAAUAUUCCAUUCGGCAAAUAUUGAAAAAUGAACUCUCGAGGUAAAUCCAUUGAAAUUCCAAAAAGUGCAAGAACUUACUUACCGCAACAGAAAGAAAAUAGACUCAAAAGUGCUACAGAGUUGCUUCGUUUGACCUAAAGUUGUGAACUGCCGAAUUUGGUUUUCUCCGAUGAGAAAACAUUCGUAUCUUAUUUACUUGCCAAGAGGUCAGCUGAAAAUGUGCACCUUCGGUUGGCCACCAGAACUCAAGCGCCGCCCACUGUGUGGUGUGGGACGCCAUAACAGCCUAUGGUCGCUCUAAGCUCGUAUUAAUCGACCGUGCCAUCAGAAUAAGUGCCGAAUUUUAUCGCGAAAAUAUUCUUGAGGCUGUAUUAAAGCCUUGGGCACGCAAACAUUUUGAUCGCAGACCUUGGUCAUUCCAACAAAACUCAGCAACAUGGCGCUCAGUACGCGGCAACCACGAAUGAUUACAAAAUGAGGUUCCUCCCUUCAUUUCCAGCGCACAAUGGCCACCAAAAUCUCCGGAUACCAUUCCGUUGGACUAUUGUGUCUGGAGUAUUUGGGAAAGCAAGGUUGGCACUAAAAAAUACCAAAGUGUCGAUCACCUCAAGUAAGCUCUUUGCCGGGAAUGGGCCGAAAUACCGCAGAGGAACAUUCGGGCAGCGUGUGACGGUUGCAUUAGCCGUUUGAAGGCCAUAAUUCGUGCCAAAGGUGACCAAUUCGAACAAAUCUAAACUUAUUCUAAAAUUUGAUGCCAUUUCCGACAUUUUUUGCUUUCAUUCAAUUUAAAAUUUAAAAA